CUGGCCUCAAAUCAGGUAGGACUACCCGCUGAACUUAA
rnacentral:rRNA from 10 species